rnacentral:rRNA from 1 species
UACGUAGGGUGCGAGCGUUGUCCGGAUUUAUUGGGCGUAAAGAGCGUGUAGGCGGCCAGGUAGGUCUGCUGUGAAAACUCGAGGCUUAACCUCGAGAUGUCGGCGGAAACCAUCUGGCUAGAGUCCGGAAGAGGAGAGUGGAAUUCCUGGUGUAGCGGUGAAAUGCGCAGAUAUCAGGAAGAACACCCGUGCGAAGGCGGCUCUCGUGGGACGGUACUGACGCUGAGACGCGAAAGCGUGGGGAGCGAACAGG